AUUCCUCUCCCUCUCGUUCUUCAUACUCUGUCUGUCUUCUUCACUUUUCUUCUCCCUGCACAUCUGUCUCCAGUGGUGGACUGAAAGGAGAUCAAACAGGCAGGAAAAUAAAAUAAGUGCGGUCAGAGAAGUACAUACAAAUGAGAACAGAUAGCCGUAACCGGCACAGCAAACGCCGAGGGAAAUCUACAAAGAGCCAUAUGGGAUGCACUUUACCUCACGCUUACAUACAGUAUGAUUUCAAAGGACACACCAGGGAGCAGUAGCGACACAAUGUGAUGGGAGAGUAUCACCUCGCAUUUCAUUUCAUAUCAGAAAACACUCUGAUUGAGAGACAGCAGCGCAUCAUCUGCUCUCCACGACGACGACAACGAAGGCGGAGGUGCGCGGAGUUCACAGCCGCAAAAAAACUUGAUGCCACCAAUGAAUGAUGGAAAAACCAGACUGAGUUUCCUGGAUGUGAGUUCAGCUCCCCCUCCGGUCAGGGUUUCUAUCAGUUUGUCCCGGACACAGUGGCAGAGGACCAGGGCGGACGCAUCGGACACGUUUUGCGGUCCGUUUUGCACCGUGCGCACCGAGACGCGUCCUGCACCAACACAGGAGACACAACGGCAAUAAAUCCUCCUCUUAAGUUCCAGGCAAAACAGGAGAAAAAAUUUGGUUAAUAUACUUAAUUCGAUAUUUAAAAAAGGGUCCUUUCAGGAAAGUUUUAAUACACAGAGGAGCGCGAAGAGGAUGAGCGAGAAACGAUAACUGGAUAACUGACUCCUUACUGACUGGAGCCGAGA